GAGAGCUCUCUUGGCGGCGAGUGGCGGACGGGUGAGUAAAUCGGAACGUGCCCAGUAGCGGGGGAUAACUACUCGAAAGAGUGGCUAAUACCGCAUACGCCCUACGGGGGAAAGGAUCGCAAGACCUCUCACUAUUGGAGCGGCCGAUAUCGGAUUAGCUAGUUGGUGGGGUAAAGGCUCACCAAGGCAACGAUCCGUAGCUGGUUUGAGAGGACGACCAGCCACACUGGGACUGAGACACGGCCCAGACUCCUAAGGCAGCAGUGGGGUUGGACAAUUUGUAACUGUGGGGGAAACCCUGAUCCAGCCAUCCCGCGUGUAUGAUGAAGGCCUUCGGGUUGUAAAGUACUUUUGGCAGAGAAGAAAAGGUAUCCCCUAAUACGGGAUACUGCUGACGGUAUCUGCAGAAUAAGCACCGGCUAACUACGUGCCAGCAGCCGCGGUAAUACGUAGGGUGCAAGCGUUAAUCGGAAUUACUGGGCGUAAAGCGUGUGUAGGCGGUUCGGAAAGAAAGAUGUGAAAUCGGCUCAACCUUGGAACUGCAUUUUUAACUGCCGAGCUAGAGUAUGUCAGAGGUUGUUGGUAGAAUUCCACGUGUAGCAGUGAAAUGCGUAGAUAUGUGGAGGAAUACCGAUGGCGAAGGCAGCCCCCUGGGAUAAUACUGACAGACACGAAAGCGUGGGGAGCAAACAGGAUUACCCUGGUAGUCCACGCCCUAAACGAUGUCAACUAGCUGUUGGGGCCGUUAGGCCUUAGUAGCGCAGCUAAUGUCCAGUAACGCGUGAAGUUGACCGCCUGGGGAGUACGGUCGCAAGAUUAAAACUAGGAAUUGACGGGGACCCGCACAAGCGGUGGAUGAUGCCCGUGAAUGGAUUAAUUCGAUGCAACGCGAAAAACCUUACCUACCCUUGACAUGUCUGGAAAGCCGAAGAGAUUUGGCCGUGCUCGCAAGAGAACCGGAACACAGGUGCUGGCUGUCGUCAGCUCGUGUCGUGAGAUGUUGGGUUAAGUCCCGCAACGAGCGCAACCCUUGUCAUUAGUUGCUACGCAAGAGCACUAUGAGACUGCCGGUGACAAACCUUGUCAAGGAGGAAGGUGGGGAUGACGUCAAGUCCUCAUGGCCCUUAUGGGUAGGGCUUCACACGUCAUACAAUGGUCGGGACAGAGGGUCCCCGCGAGGGGGAGCCAAUCUCAGAAACCCGAUCGUAGUCCGGAUCGCGUUGUCAAGUCUGCAACUCGACUGCGUGAAGUCGGAAUCGCUAGUAAUCGCGGAUCAGACGCGGUGAAUACG
rnacentral:rRNA from 1 species